AUCACUUGCAGCUGGCUCGAGGGGGCGGCUUUGUUGCAUUUGUUUUAGUUUUCUCUCUUCCGAAAACCUUUUAAAGUGUUGAGUUCCGCAAGGCGGAGGAGAGAAGGAUAAAUUGCCUUCCAGAUUGGGACUAGAUGUGCGACACACAGAGAGGAGCUAACCCACCGCCCUGCAAUUUAAUUAGAAAAUAGAUCGCAUUUGAUCAAAGGCAGUUCAUUGCACAUUGCCUUGAAGCACUGGACCUCACCAAGCAGUGUCAGAAUGGACCUUCUGAAAGGCUUCAGCACCUUGUCAUAAGUAAGGAACAAUGAUGCUAGGAUUAAAACCAAAAGCAAAGCAGUGGGGAUGCCAGAAAUCUGAAAUGAAAACAGAAAAUGCUGGAGAUACUCAGCAGGUUUGGGCAGCAUCUGUGGAGAGAAAAGUAAUAACUCACAACAAGAACUUUUAUUUAUAAAGCACCUUCAAUGCAAUAAAGCAUCCCAAGGCA